GCUCACCCCCCGCCUCUGAUCCCGGUGCCAGGGGCACCCUCUGCCCAGAGAAAGGAGAGCUGGGACAGUGAAACAACCCCAGAGAAACUCUGGCUCUGGGCAAAUUCAUUUGAAACCCAGAACUUCUUUUCCCUCCCCGAUUUGCAGGAGCCAGGAGGGAUUUAACCCCCGGUUUUGAUGCUCCACCUCGAUCUCGAGAAGGAGAAAUGUGGGCAGAGAGUCUGAUCCCCUGUGCAAACCCCCAGCUGGGAGAAGAAGCCUGAUUUGCUGAGGCCAGGGGUGGCAAAGAGCUCGGACAGGAACCUGCACUAAACCUUUGACACACAAGACAUUUCCCUUUCGGGCCAAGGCAAACAAAGGAAGGAAGUGUCUGGGACUUUUAAAGCGCCCCAGUGGAGACAGGGUUCUCUGUGCCUGAGGCUGACAGGACUCCCCUACUCACCUCCUGAGCACCACCAGGCUCUGGGAAGGCUCCUGCUGGGCUCAGGUGCUCGGGUAACCUGGACCAUUCCUGGUAGAUCCCACC